GCAUAAUCCUUUGAUGGGAAAACCUUGACGGCCUUUCAGAAGAGGAAGAAAGCCCUCCUCUGCAGAGUCACCAGGGACUGGCUAUUACUAAUUGAUUCUACAUGGAGAACACACAGUGGUGACAGCCAUCAGUCUGAAACAGAACAAAACAUUUGACUCUUGGGAAAAGCAAAACCAGUGCCCUCUGAUGCCUUUAUGCAUUAUGAGAUUUGGACCUGACUACAGAUGAUUAUACACUGAUAAAUACUGCCACCAGUGCUCCAGUUAUACUGCUGGUCCUCCCAGUCAUGUUCAACACUGAGGAAAGCCUGAACACUGAAAUACUCCCUCGCUGCUGGGUGUUGGAAAAACUAGAAUAGGACAGCAAGAGUACAGCAGCAUCCCACCACCAGCCAUGGGGUUGUCUUUAAAACGAGACUGGACUGAGCGGUACCAUGGGCAGAAGAUCCUUCCUGCUCGUAGCAUUCUCACAGCUGGGUGAGAAGAGAUCUGGGAACACUCUGGCUGUGCACUCGGUGUAUCAUCUCUGGUGCUCUGGAAGUCCACAUCUGUGAUCUUUCAGCAGAUUCUGUCUGUGACACACUGGCUCAAGGGAUGUCCAAGUGAUAGUCAACAACCCAAGUACAAGGAGACUAAUGACUUAAAAUUGAGCCCUCUCUGUACAACUGAUGGAGUUUUGUUCCUGGGCUAUCUCCUUCUCGUUUCAUUCAGCAUGAAUGGCAGAUUCCUACAUCGUGUCAAGUUUCGGAUCACCAUAGAAACAAACUAGGAGGCAGUUUCAUUAAUCAUUUAGAGCACAAGAAGUCUAGGUCAGUCUGAUUGCAGCAUAUAGAGUAUCAUCCUAGCGCCACAUGGGACUCAGUUGAUUUGAAUUAAAAAAGAUUAAGCUGCCCCUAGGACGCUCAGCAUCAUCAGUUUAAGUUCUCAUGUAACAGUGGUCUCUGGAGCCACAUGGAUUAGGAGAGUGAAGCUAUGCAUUUAUUUUUCAGGGCUCAGUGAAACAUUAGAUGAGUGCAGGUGUCUGAGGGGGAAAAAAGGACAAAGAUCACAUAUAGUUUUUUAGACUUGUUGCUGUUCUUUUGAAACUGGAAACAAUAACUCAGUUUUAUUUCUCCAGUGACAGUUACCGCUCUUUUUUGGCCAUGCAAUGGUACAUCUGUUACCCAAUGUUUACAUUUUAGAUUUACAAAAAUUUCAUACUAUGAAGCAUAGUUUUAGCACAGAGCUGCAAGUUGGGCAUUGAAGUUUACAUGAAUGCUGACUUUUGCUUCUCCUGAUGGGGUAAAAAAUGCGUGAAAUAAAUACUGGUGACAUUUUAGUUUUGCUUGAAUGAAGAUUUAUUGCUCCCAGGAAACUGACAUACAGGCAGCUACAAAUCAACUUGACUAUGAAAUAGUUGUAUAUGUACACCACAAAAUGAGCCCCCCCUUCCAAAGUACUCACCUUAUUU